rnacentral:rRNA from 1 species
GAUGAACGCUGGCGGCGUGCCUAAUACAUGCAAGUCGAGCGAACGGACGAGAAGCUUGCUUCUCUGAUGUUAGCAGCGGACGGGUGAGUAACACGUGGAUAACCUACCUAUAAGACUGGGAUAACUUCGGGAAACCGGAGCUAAUACCGGAUAAUAUUUUGAACCGCAUGGUUCAAAAGUGAAAGACGGUCUUGCUGUCACUUAUAGAUGGAUCCGCGCUGCAUUAGCUAGUUGGUAAGGUAACGGCUUACCAAUGCAACGAUGCAUAGCCGACCUGAGAGGGUGAUCGGCCACACUGGAACUGAGACACGGUCCAGACUCCUACGGGAGGCAGCAGUAGGGAAUCUUCCGCAAUGGGCGAAAGCCUGACGGAGCAACGCCGCGUGAGUGAUGAAGGUCUUCGGAUCGUAAAACUCUGUUAUUAGGGGAGAACAUAUGUGUAAGUAACUGUGCACAUCUUGACGGUACCUAAUCAGAAAGCCACGGCUAACUACGUG